GAGACUGCUGAGCUCCCAAGCACCUGAUCCCAAGCACGUUAGAAAGUGGCUGAAGAAUGAAUGAAUGUUUUCCGCUAGAAGCACAAUGGCCUUCUCACUGCUAUUCUGUACGUCCCUGUAGCAUUUGAUACGUUCAAGAAAACCAUCCAGCGACCCUGAGGACGAAGACUGGUGCAUACCGUUGGGGGCGUAGGAUCCGCGCUUUUCGCACCGCACAGAGCAGCGGAAGCGGAUCUCGGGGGAAGGAGGGCUGGGCGGCCAGAGGCGAAGCGGGCGUGUCCCGGUUCCCCUUGCGACUCCAGUAUGGGACACCACCCGCCCCGACGCCCGACCCCGCGGGAGACAAAGACUGGCGGCGGGCCCACCGCUCUCGCUCGCCUCCGCGGGGACGAAGCGCGACGCGGCUCGAACAACAGCGCCCACCCCCCAAACCCCCCCCCGUCCCUUAACCUGGCCAGGCCCCAGACGGAGCAGACAUACGCAGCGGCCGCGCCCCAUCACCUCUUCGCAGCCGCUCGGGGGUCGCCCGGCGCAAGAGUAUGCGGGCCGCUCCGGCCUGUCACCUUCAGAACCGCCCGGCCCCCGCCACUCAGCCUCUGAGCCUUCAGCGCGCGCCUCCGCGGUCCCCUGGAGCCGCGCUUCCGCGACGACUUAUCUUUCUCGCGGCAACCACCGUCCGCACCGCCCCACGGCGCACCCCAGCACCAUACCUGCUGCGAGAGGGGUACAAGCGGCGCCGCCAUCUUCGUGCGGACUCGGCCUCCGGAGCGCCGAAGGAACGGGGGCGGGGCCGUGCCUGCGCACUAGUACGAAGGAGGGAUGCGAUGCGCGCGCAGCACAGCCAGCGCAAGGACAGGCCACAGGACCAGAGUACACGUGCGCAGAAGGGAAUCCAAGUCCUCCCGUGAGAAGUUUUGCAGUAAGAGGGCGGAGCCUCGAUCACAGUGGAGAGGGCGGGGCAGUUCUGGCUGGAGGCGGAGCCUUUAUGGGGAAGGCUCUGUCGCAUAGCCUUACCAGAGUUGGCCGUACCGGGUGAUUUAGAGAGCCUAGCCUAAAGCACAGCGUGACUAGAAGGUUCGGAGCCUCGUCCUACAAAAAAAGAAGAAGGAGAAGGAGAAGGUGGUAUUCUCAGUUUUCUUCCAUACUGUUUCUGCACAUACAUACUUGCCUAAGCAUCCUGCCCCACCAAGGGAACAGUAACUUGAUCUGUCUGGGGUGCUCUUGAGUUCACCAGAAGACAUUGAAGCAAAGCUCUGAUGGCUGGCUCCCUCCUGCUAAAGUCACCUUGCACUCAACUAUGAAUCAGCACAAAUAAGAAAACAAGGCCAACAGGACAUCGUGUCAGACUCCCACAACAGAGCACUGGGAGGCUAAGCGGGAAGACUGUCAACCCUGGCCAGCCUGGGCAACUUGCCAAGUGCCUGGCUCAAAAACAGUGAGCUGGAGAGAUAACUUAGAAGGUCAGACGGAAACACCUUGAUGUAACCACCACCACAGUCCAUCUUCUGCUCAUGCUUCACCGUGUACUGGAUUACCAGGGUCUUCCCUUUGUUGCUGAAUGGCUUGAAGCUCGCAGAGAUGGCAUAGAAUCGGCUGUUUUGGGUAGUCUGCAGGCCUUUCAACAGAAAGCAUGCAUGAGUGAGUCAGAAUGACACUGCACUCAAUGUCCUGUAGGAACCUCCAACUCCAGUAACAGAGAUGCUGUUUGCACUGAGCCACUGUGCACAAGUCACACAGUGUGCCACAUGCACACUACUAACAGACUUGUUGCUUGCAAGAAUCUCUGCUUCACACACCUUUGUGUAUAUAAUGCAAGCUUUGCCAGGGCCCAGUGGGUGAGGCACUUACAGCCACGCCUGACCACCUGAUUACAUUCUUGAGUACCCACAUAAUGGAAAGAGGGAGACAGCUCCUGAAGUUGUCUUCUAAUUUCUACAUGCAUGUGAUGACAGAUGUGUGCACACAUGUGCACAUGCACACAGACACACACACACACACAGAGAGCUAAUUUUAAAAAAGACUAUUUUACUAGUUUUUUUUAUUUUGUUUGAGGCAUAGUAUACCCGUGAGCCCUGUGCCACACCACCUUCAGUAGGAUCUGUGUGACAAAUUCCACAGACUGAGGCGAUUGACCUACAAAGGGGGAGGCCCCCUGGAACUGGUUGUGGAACUCUUUGCCGGAGAAAAAUUAUUGAGCAGUAGUUCUCAUGGCAAUCUAUCUGUUUUGUUUUCUCUUAUUCCUUUUCGUAUUUACAUGUUCCCGGUAGCCUAGGCCAAGAUCUUAGGCAAGAAUAAUGGGUUGGCGGGCUGUGGUGGCCCAUGCCUUUAAUCCUAGCACUUGGGAGGCAGAGGCAGGCGGAUUUCUGAGUUCGAGGCCAGACUGGUCUACAGGGUGAGUUCUAGGACAGCCAGGGCUACACAGAGAAACCCUGUCUCGAAACCCCCCCACCAAAAAAAAAAAAAAAAGAAAAAAAAGAAAAAAAGAAAAAGAAAAAGAAUAAUGGGUAAGAAACCAUCCCUAGAGAUGGAGUCACUAACAUGACCUUAUCCCCAGGGAAACAAAUGCUUUACUUUCUAAAUCAUUUAUAAAACUAUGAUGAUAAAAACUUUCCCAACAAUAAAAUUUCAUAUGGCUACAUGUGUGUCAUCAGAGGUAGGUUUUGGUAUAUGGCAAAGAAAACCUUAAUUAGAAAGAAUUAAAAUAGUUUAAAUUUAUGCAUUAAAGAUUUAUAAAAUAUCAGGCACUAGAUGUUAAAUUAAAUUUGACCAUGGGGAUGGAGAGUUAGCUCAGCAAUUAAGAGAAUUGACCAUAAAGAUUAACUUGUUCUUGGAAAUAUGCCACUAGCCUUGGAUAACUGCCCCACUGAAUACAUCCUUUUAGAAUUGUUAUAUUUUGAUGACUUAUAUUAAUAAUGAUGUUACCUGUUCCGUUUGUGAUUCACUGAAUAGUCUCAGAGUUGUAAGGCUUGGAUGAUUUUUGUGCUUUACUGUGCCAAAUGAUUUUUGUUGGUAUCUGUGAUUGUUUCACUGGAUAUAGUUUCUAAGAGAUGUAAUGUUUGGUUUUUUAAUGUAUAAAAUCCCCUGCUUGAGAGCUGCAAAAUACACUCCGAUUCAAACUGC